GACGAACGCUGGCGGCGUGCUUAACACAUGCAAGUCGAACGGAAGGCCCUGCUUUUGUGGGGUGCUCGAGUGGCGAACGGGUGAGUAACACGUGAGUAACCUGCCCUUGACUUUGGGAUAACUUCAGGAAACUGGGGCUAAUACCGGAUAGGAGCUCCUGCUGCAUGGUGGGGGUUGGAAAGUUUCGGCGGUUGGGGAUGGACUCGCGGCUUAUCAGCUUGUUGGUGGGGUAGUGGCUUACCAAGGCUUUGACGGGUAGCCGGCCUGAGAGGGUGACCGGCCACAUUGGGACUGAGAUACGGCCCAGACUCCUACGGGAGGCAGCAGUGGGGAAUAUUGCACAAUGGGCGGAAGCCUGAUGCAGCAACGCCGCGUGCGGGAUGACGGCCUUCGGGUUGUAAACCGCUUUCGCCUGUGACGAAGCGUGAGUGACGGUAAUGGGUAAAGAAGCAUCGGCUAACUACGUG
rnacentral:rRNA from 1 species